rnacentral:lncRNA from 1 species
CACUAAAUAGAUUUGGCAGGAUGACAGUUUCUCUCCCUGGUCCCUCAUCCUCUCCACCCCCAAAUCACAUGCCUGUAACCUCUCAACUCCCACCUUCUACCUUUUAUGGACCAUGAAUGUUUAAAACAAUAAAGGGACUAAAAGUUUGUUAACAUAAUCAUCCACUAAAGACAUGCCAUGAAAGUCAGUAUAAUAAGAGAAAGAUGUGUCUGGUAAAUACACCUCUCUAAAAAAUCUAAAGGCCCC